UACGUAGGGGGCGAGCGUUGUCCGGAUUUAUUGGGCGUAAAGAGCUCGUAGGCGGCUAAGCAAGUCGGGUGGGAAAUCUCCAGGCUCAACCUGGAGCCUUCGCCCGAUACUGCUUUGGCUUGAGUCCGGUAGGGGAGUGUGGAAUUCCCGGUGUAGCGGUGAAAUGCGCAGAUAUCGGGAGGAACACCGGCGGCGAAGGCGGCACUCUGGGCCGGUACUGACGCUGAGGAGCGAAAGCGUGGGGAGCAAACAGG
rnacentral:rRNA from 1 species